GACAGCAGUAGCCGCGGGAACACGAAGGGGGCUAGCGUUGCUCGGAAUGACUGGGCGUAAAGGGCGCGUAGGCGGUUCACGCAGUCAGAUGUGAAAUUCCUGGGCUCAACCUGGGGGCUGCAUUUGAUACGCGUGGACUAGAGUGGGGAAGAGGGUCGUGGAAUUCCCAGUGUAGAGGUGAAAUUCGUAGAUAUUGGGAAGAACACCGGUGGCGAAGGCGGCGACCUGGUCCUUUACUGACGCUGAGGCGCGAAAGCGUGGGGAGCAAACAGGAUUAGAGACCCCAGUAGUCCCUGUCUCUUAUAC
rnacentral:rRNA from 1 species